GUGACCGUUGAAAGUGACUUAACCCUCAGAAGCCUUUUGAAAUGUCUUAUUUCUUACACAAAAUAGUGACUUACUUCCAAAUAUACGAGCAGUCAUUUGCCCAUCCCGGACAGGUUGCCAGUCCAUCACAGGACAACAUAGAACAAACAAGCAUCCAUGUACACGUUCACUGGACUAUAGGAGGAGGCCAGCGAACCUGGAGAGAACCCAGAGUGCCACGAGGGAGCAGUCAUCACUGGAUGGAAAGAGGCGAUUGAGACAUCACAGGGACGGCAGAUUUGAUGGACAAAAAUUCGGGUUGCCAGGUCUGAUCCGCUGAGACGAGAGGAGUGGUCGAGAUCAAGCAAAGUGUGCUCUGGGAUAUGUGUGUGAUUAAGGGCUGGGUGUGUGUGAGCACUGGCUUUUGUCUUGGUGUGUGUGGUGUGUAUGUGUGGGAAUGGACCCUGGUCUGACUUGUUGAUUAAUGGCCAGUGUGUGUAUGUGUGAAAACGCUCCUGGUCCUGUUUCCAUGCUAAUGAGCAGCGGCAGAUGGGAGAGAGGAGUUUUGGAGCAACAAUGAACAAACACACCAGCAGACGUACAAUUAAAUUAGGAAGAAGAAAAAAAAAAACACAACAAACAGAAGCUCCAGUAUGGUGAGCUUCCUUUCAGACAAUAUACUCCGAUAUUAUGUUCUUUCUUCCUGUCUGUGGCAGCAUGUAAACAUCGUACUAUUUCACAUAAACUAUGGUGAUGACUAGCUGGUCAUCAGUGCUACAUGGGGAAAACGCUUUAAAUUAACAUAUACAGUUAAAAACUAUAAAAAAAUA